UACGUAGGGUGCGAGCGUUGUCCGGAAUUAUUGGGCGUAAAGGGCUCGUAGGCGGUUUGUCGCGUCGGGAGCGAAAAUCCAGGGCUUAACUCUGGACUGGCUUUCGAUACGGGCAGACUAGAGGUAUGCAGGGGAGAACGGAAUUCCUGGUGUAGCGGUGAAAUGCGCAGAUAUCAGGAGGAACACCAGCGGCGAAGGCGGCGCUCUGGGCUGGAACUGACGCUGAGGAGCGAAAGCGUGGGGAGCGAACAGG
rnacentral:rRNA from 1 species